UAUGGUCGGAACUACGACGGUAUCUGAUCGUCUUCGAACCUCCGACUUUCGUUCUUGAUUAAUGAAAACAUUCUUGGCAAAUGCUUUCGCUCUGGUCCGUCUUGCGCCGGUCCAAGAAUUUCACCUCUAGCGGCGCAAUACGAAUGCCCCCGGCCGUCCCUCUUAAUCAUGGCCUCAGUUCCGAAAACCAACAAAAUAGAACCGCGGUCCUAUUCCAUUAUUCCUAGCUGCGGUAUCCAGGCGGCUCGGGCCUGCUUUGAACACUCUAAUUUUUUCAAAGUAAACGCUUCGGGCCCCGCGGGACACUCAGCUAAGAGCAUCGAGGGGGCGCCGAGAGGCAAGGGGCGGGGACGGGCUUUUUAACUGCAGCAACUUUAAUAUACGCUAUUGGAGCUGGAAUUACCGCGGCUGCUGGCACCAGACUUGCCCUCCAAUGGAUCCUCGUUAAAGGAUUUAAAGUGGACUCAUUCCAAUUACAGGGCCUCGAAAGAGUCCUGUAUUGUUAUUUUUCGUCACUACCUCCCCGGGUCGGGAGUGGGUAAUUUGCGCGCCUGCUGCCUUCCUUGGAUGUGGUAGCCGUUUCUCAGGCUCCCUCUCCGGAAUCGAACCCUGAUUCCCCGUCACCCGUGGUCACCAUGGUAGGCACGGCGACUACCAUCGAAAGUUGAUAGGGCAGACGUUCGAAUGGGUCGUCGCCGCCACGGAGGGCGUGCGAUCGGCCCGAGGUUAUCUAGAGUCACCAAAGCCGCCGGCGCCCACCCCCCCGGCCGGGGGGGGGGGGGAGCUGGGGGGGUGACGACGCCUCCCCCUCCUCCUCCUUCCCCCACGCACGCCAACAAGCCAACGCGCGACACCACAGCCGUCCGGGGCGGUUCCACACACGUAAGGGGAGCCGGAACCCCCAACCCCCAAGACACGGUGGGCCGGCCCAAGGGGAGGCGAAACACAGCAGGGUCACGGCGACCCGGGUCGGGAAGCGGAUGAGAAAGAGAGCAAAGGAGACGGACAGACCCCAACCCCACAAGGCCCCCACGGGCACGCGGGCAGCGGAGCCCUCAAAGAGCCCACCCUCCCCCGGAGGGGGGAGGGCGAACGGCCCAGCCCGCAGCGACAGCGAGGGGGGGUGGGGGCCGCACCAGGGCCACGGAGGGCGAGGCACCGGAGGCACGAGGGAGAGGACGCAGGGAGCGCCUUGGGCCACAAAAGCCGGACCCGCCGGGGAAACGGACACGGGAUCCCACCGCCACACACCAGGGCGGUCCCGCGACGCCUGGGACACCGGAGCCGGCCUCUGGCGACCCCCCACGUCUUCUCCCACGCACACCCAAGAGCCCCGCCGCCAGGGCGCCUCGACGCGACAGCGCCAACAACCGCACACACCGGACGGCCCUCGCGCCAUCUCCCGCCCAUCCAACCAUCCGGAUCUCCAUGCCCGGAGAAGCACCGCGACCCCGAGGGAACGCUCCCCAGGGGCGACCACGCGGGCCGAGGGGGAAGAGAGGGCUGGGCGCAGCCCAACACACGUGCCGACCGCCGCCCGACGACGGCCAGUCGCAGCCCGGGGUGGCGAGCAGGGGAAGCUGAGAGCUGCCCGCUCGCGCCACAGCCCCGGCCGACAAGGCAACACACGGAGAGUGACGCGGAAGGCACGCGCGCACACGGGCACGCGCGCCGGUCCCCAACACGAAGAAAGAGCGACGGACCGCCAGCCCGGCCCGGCGGGACCCUCCCCCGACACGGAGGGGGGAGGCGCGGGCCGCGGCCAUUAGGGCCGAAAGAGCAGCGCCCCGGUCCCCACCGCGGGGACCGGCAGACCCACCAGCACGCCUACGCUUCCCCCCAACAGAAGGGGCAAACGGGGCGCACGGGUGGGGUACGCCACCCAACGCACUCAGCACAGGAGGGACGGCGGCCGGGGGAUAACGGUACCCCGUCAGAAGGCACGCCCCUCUCGGAUCGCUAGAGAAGGCGUUCCUCACCGAAGGUGGGGCCACACCCCACCCCAACUGCCCCCCCCCCCGCCGGGGCCGGCAGGGAGGCAAGCCGAGGGAGCACCACCCGAGAGAACCGAUCAAUCGGGCGAGGGGGGUCUGCGGUAUAAGGAAGAACGGCACCUCGAGCAUCCGCGGCCAGGGCAAGGGCAGGCUGGGCGCAUUACCAAUCCCAUUCGCCACAGCCCUCCCGGCCCCCGCACUCGUCCGGCCAGACCGGACCACACCGCGACCGCUCGACACACCUGGCACACACCACCCCACGGGGGCAGGGUGGCAAGCGCGCAGGCAUGCGCCCACCAAGCCGAUACCCCACACACACGUGGGGACGACGGCACGACACCGGCAGCCUCCCUCCAAGCGAGGCGAAGCACACACGUGUCUCCUUCUCUUACCGCCUCGACCCCCCCAAGACUCCCAAGGGGCACAGGCAGCAGCCAGAGGCAGCCGCAGCAGCGACACCCGGGAGAGGGCGCUGGGGGGACAGGAGCAACACCACCACUCGGCUUCAGGCGCCUGAGGCACAACCUGGACCACUCCAGGGGCACCGCACAGGCUCGCGCGGAGGCAAGGCUCCGCAGCCACAGAGCCCACGACAGGGCGACGGCGAGGGAUGCCCGCCACGUCAGAGGACCCCGACCCCCCCCGCGCGCAAAAGCACGGGGACAGCAGAGGCCGGGCCGGUUUCCGCACCCCUGCCACCCACACACCACCCGCAGGUGGGGAAGGCAGAACGAGGGGCCCGCAGGCCAGAACGAGAGGCUCAGCAGCAUUCACC
rnacentral:lncRNA from 1 species